CCUACGGGUGGCAGCAGUGAGGAAUAUUGGUCAAUGGACGAGAGCCUGAACCAGCCAAGUCGCGUGAAGGAUGACUGCCCUAUGGGUUGUAAACCUCUUUUAUCUGGGAGUAAAAAAGGGUAUGCAUACCCCAUUGUGUGUACCCUGUGAAUAAGGAUCGGCUAACUCCGUGCCAGCAGCCGCGGUAAUACGGAGGAUCCGAGCGUUAUCCGGAUUUAUUGGGUUUAAAGGGUGCGUAGGUGGCUUGUUAAGUCAGGUGUGAAAGUUUGGGGCUCAACCGUAAAAAUGCAGUUGAAACUGGCAGUCUAGAGUACAGUAGAGGUGUGCGGAAUUCGUGGUGUAGCGGUGAAAUGCUUAGAUAUCACGAAGAACUCCGAUUGCGAAGGCAGCUCACUGGAGUGCAACUGACACUGAUGCUCGAAAGCGUGGGUAUCAAACAGGAUUAGAUACCCUAGUAGUC
rnacentral:rRNA from 1 species